rnacentral:rRNA from 1 species
GAAUUUUGGACAAUGGGCGAAAGCCUGAUCCAGCAAUGCCGCGUGCAGGACGACGGCCUUCGGGUUGUAAACUGCUUUUGUACGGAACGAAAAGCUUUGGGUUAAUACUCUGGAGUCAUGACGGUACCGUCAGACUAAGCACGGGCUAACUAGGACCCAGCAGCCGCGGUAAUACGUAGGGUGCAAGCGUUAAUCGGAAUUAAUGGGCGUAAAGCGUGCGCAGGCGGUUUUGUAAGUCAGAGGUGAAAUCCCCGGGCUCAACCUGGGAACUGCCUUUGUGACUGCAAGGUUAGAGUACGGCAGAGGGGGGUGGAAUUCCGCGUGUAGCAGUGAAAUGCGUAGAUAUGCGGAGGAACACCGAUGGCGAAGGCAACCCCCUGGGCCUGUACUGACGCUCAUGCACGAAAGCGUGGGGAGCAAACA